UACGUAGGGGGCAAGCGUUGUCCGGAUUUAUUGGGCGUAAAGAGCGUGUAGGCGGCUUCACAGGUCCGCUGUGAAAACUCGAGGCUCAACCUCGAGCUGUCGGUGGAAACCGUGUGGCUAGAGUCCGGAAGAGGAGAGUGGAAUUCCCGGUGUAGCGGUGAAAUGCGCAGAUAUCGGGAAGAACACCCGUGGCGAAGGCGGCUCUCUGGGCCUGUUCUGACGCUGAGGCGCGAAAGCUAGGGGAGCGAACGGGG
rnacentral:rRNA from 1 species